rnacentral:rRNA from 1 species
UGGUGGAGUGAUUUGUCUGGUUAAUUCCGUUAACGAACGAGACCUUAACCUAUUAAUUAGUUAUGCGAACUUGGGCUUCGGUCCUUUCGGUUCGUGGACAACUUCUUAGAGGGACUCUCGGCAUCUCUAGCCGAUGGAAGUUUGAGGCUAAAACA